rnacentral:rRNA from 1 species
UACGUAGGGUGCGAGCGUUAAUCGGAAUUACUGGGCGUAAAGCGCGCGCAGGCGGCAGUGCAAGUAAGGUGUGAAAUCUCCCUGCUCAACGGGGAGGGUGCACUUUAGACUGCACAGCUCGAGGUCGGUAGAGGGGGGGUGGAAUUGCUGGUGUAGCGGUGAAAUGCUUAGAUAUCGUCAAGAACACCUAUUGCGAAGGCAGCUUACUAAGCUUUAACUGACACUGAGGCACGAAAGUGUGGGGAUCAAACAGG